UGUAAGCGUAUACCAAAGUUGUUGCAGUUAAAACGCUCGUAGUCGGAAUUUGGCAGUUCCGGAAGUGUGCACGUCGUGUGCGCACUUUGCGGGGACUGCUUUUGUGGUCUUGCGUAGGAUGAGGCACUUUCAUUAGUGAACGUCCUCACGCAACCACUCUUUACUGUGAGAAAAUCAGAGUGCUCAAAGCAGGCAUUUGCCGUGAAUGUAUUAGCAUGGAAUAAUAGAAUAGGACUCGGUUCUAUUUUGUUGGUUUGUUGGUACUGAGUAAUGAUUAAGAGGGACAGUUGGGGGCAUUUGUAUUCCGGCGCUAGAGGUGAAAUUCUUAGAUUGCCGGAAGACAAACUGCUGCGAAAGCGUCUGCCAAGGAUGUUUUCAUUGA
rnacentral:rRNA from 1 species